rnacentral:rRNA from 1 species
AACGAACGCUGGCGGCAGGCUUAACACAUGCAAGUCGAGCGCCCCGCAAGGGGAGCGGCAGACGGGUGAGUAACGCGUGGGAACGUACCCUUUGCUACGGAAUAGCUCCGGGAAACUGGAAUUAAUACCGUAUGUGCCCUACGGGGGAAAGAUUUAUCGGCAAAGGAUCGGCCCGCGUUGGAUUAGCUAGUUGGUGGGGUAAUGGCCUACCAAGGCGACGAUCCAUAGCUGGUCUGAGAGGAUGAUCAGCCACAUUGGGACUGAGACACGGCCCAAACUCCUACGGGAGGCAGCAGUGGGGAAUAUUGGACAAUGGGCGCAAGCCUGAUCCAGCCAUGCCGCGUGAGUGAUGAAGGCCUUAGGGUUGUAAAGCUCUUUCACCGGAGAAGAUAAUGACGGUAUCCGGAGAAGAAGCCCCGGCUAACUUCGUGCCAGCCGCCGCAGUAAGAC